AUUUAUAUAGUUUAAAUUAAAACUUUAUAUUUUCAAUAUAAUAAUAUAUAAAUAAAUUUAUUAUAAAUU
rnacentral:tRNA from 1 species